ACCUCCCGUUUCUCUUUACCAUCGUUAGUGGAUGGUAUCUGUCUUAUUACCCCUUUCAAUCCAGAAGCCUCCUCCACCGCCAUUUCUUUCUUCUUCACCACCGCCUUUUUUCUCCCACCGCUUCACCAGCUCGAUCGAAGCCCUAAGACCACCCCACCGAUCACCGCCUCUUAACCCAAUCGGGUAUGAGAUAUUGCUAACCCAUCGUCACCCACCGAUGGGUCUCUUGGUUUCGUCUAAUCCAUCAACGGGAUAUCAACGAGGGUAGGGCGACGAUUGUUAUCUUAACGGAACUUUAUUGGACAACAGAUGCAAUUUCUGUUUCGGGGAAAAGGAGUGGAUUACAGAGGAUGUAAAGCUCUGAUACUUCUUCUAAAUCGCAAGAUUGUUGCCAUCAAGGAGACUCUUGCAUUGUUCAUGGAGCUUCAGGUUUUGACUGAUAAGCCUUUAAAAGAAUUGGCAUUCUCUCAUAUCAAGCGAAUGAAUCAGAAACACAAGAACGAAACCGAAAAAAGAGCACUUCAGAGUAUUCUAUUUUCAAUGCUACAGGAAGAGGAUGAACAGAAAGCAAUGAGGUCUCUUGUCACAAUAUGUGAUCUUCACAGGAGGAAGGAUUAUGAUUGCAGCGCUGUCAUUUCUUCUUGAUUAUGAAAAAAUUGAGCAAGACAAUGACAGUGACGAGUCAAGUGAUGAAGAAGAAGCAAUCCAACAGCAUCAUGUUGUCAUUAGUAAAGAAGCUAUUUACAAGGCCAACAAUACGGGGACAACAUCCAGCAAAAAGAAAAAGAAAGCAAAGUUGCAGCGUGUGAUUUCUUCGACCAACUUCUAAUUGCUUCUUUUACUCUGAUAUUUUCAAUCAUAAAUAAUCAAAUAAGUCAUCAUCGGUUUUCCCCAAAUCAGUUUUCUGCAUAUGGUUAUCCUUUACUAUGAAGGGUAGAAUGGUUACUUACUCAAUACAGACAUCAUUCAUAUUUUAUCCAUUUACCAAUAACAAAAAAAUGAGCAAUAUAUCUUUCUUUUUCACUUAAUGCAGAAAUAACGACUUAAUAGAGAGAUUCAGGGAAAUGAGAACUUUUUACAAAUUUACCCUUAUUAAAUUAACUUAUUUUGUUUGCUUGAAGCUUCAAAGAAACAAAGAUCAAAGAUAAUAACUCAAAAACGCAGCAUAGAAGACACACCAAAGCCAAAGAAACCCAUCAGACAGGAUCGUACUAUAACUUGGACAUAAAAGUUUGUAAUUUUUUUAAGUACAUUGACAAUUAUGCCCCUGCAUUGUUCACAUGGACAAAAAAAAUGUUCUUUAUUAGUUCUGUUUUCCAUCAUUUCUUUCAAUAUCCAUGAAUUUACUUUUCUUUUUGUUACAAAUAUUUUAUAAAGUGUUUUGAAAAACAAUCAAUUGAUCGGUUUAAUCCUAUCAACUUUAUCACAAAUUUCAAAUUUGAAGAUUUUGUAAGAACGUUUCUUUAAUUUCAUUUCAUCUUGGUUUAAUAAAAAAACAUAUUUUAUAUUCAUGAAAUCAAUGAUUAUUAUAAGGACUUGGCACAAAUCAGUAAAAUGUGGAAAUCCAAAAGCUUAUAUACUGGAAUGAAGUUUUUCAAUAUUUGUAAGUUUCAAAGCCUCGGUUCUAUUAUCUAUAGGAUAUUGUUUAAUAUACUUUCACAAAAUUAUAGGUUUCAUGUUUUUUUUUUCCUUCUGUAAAUCUAAGAUUGUUGGUAGUGGAUCUUCCUUCUGUAAAUCAAUUUCCCUUAGGUUUCAUGGUACUUUCUCUCUUUUUCUAUAUAUUAUUUUGUAAAUUUUAUUAUUUUGACAUGCAUUUUUGUGAAAGCUUAAAGUAUAUACCGGACACUUUGUGACAAUGUUCACUAAUCAAAACGGUGCAUGCAACGGUUACGAAUCCCAAUCAACAUGAACCUUAAGGUCACUCCUAAAAGAACAUGACAUCUUUCUCACUAUGCCUCUUUUCAAUUCUAAAGUGGAACAAAGCUACUAUAGAAGAGCUUUUUCAGCUUUCAGAAAUUGAAAAGAAUAAUCUUUGGAAGGUACAUGGUAUGAAGUUGGUCUUCAAGGUGUUCAUGAUGAGAAUUGUGCAUACUGUAUUGGGAAUACAGUUGCUUUUUAUUUAUUUUUUUUCAAAACCAAAAAGCAAAGUACAUUGCUAUUAUGUGAAUUUUUAAUGUUUUUUACAUGGUCAAAUCUAUAAAGACGCAUCAUUAUCUA